CUGAAAUGAGUUCAGAAGAAAUCCAGAAGAAAAAGGAAGGAGAGCAGAGGAGCAGCUGCCUGCAAGGACCGAUGUUAGUCUGACUGGACCAACAGGGAAGCGUUCAGACUGACAGGCAGGAACCGGGAGGUGAAUGAGUUGGGUUACGGUAAAACCCGAACCAGAGAGCGAGCACUGCAAAACUCUAACAAAGUCUUUUAGAUUCUAGUGCAAAAUAUCUCAGCACACUUAAAAUAAGACAAAACUGACUCAUCAGUAACUUUUCAAUAAGGAGCUUUUUAAAGUCAAUAAUUCAUUAAUAAUGAUUAGAAAUAAUAGUCCCACUGGCCGAUUAUUUCACUGAUGAGACAUUUUUCCUAUAAGUGUAACUUGUAUUUUUUUUUCAUUUCAUAUUAUUGACUUAAACCAAGCUUCUAUUUCUUGCUGAAAAGUUACUUAUUUCAAGUUAUAUUUGCACUAAACUAGACACCUUGUUAAGAUUUUGUGUUUUUGCAGUGUGAGCUGUUAAAUUUCUGAAAAAUGACCAGCAGUCGGUUCUCUGAGCCAUCAAAAGAAGAAAAGAAACACUUUAACAAGCUCGGUCAGGCAGUGGUUAGGCUUUCAGAUCAAACAGCAUGAAACCACACACACACACACACACGCACACACACACACACGCACACACACGCACACACACGCACACACACCCACACACCUCUGUACUUCUAACCAACUGAGUACUUUAUUGACUUCAUUUUAACAGUUUUCACACCUGAUGGUCCAGUAGACUCAGUUUGAUUUGGGACCAAAGUUGCAACAUUUGGUCCAUUUUCAGCUGCUGCGUUUUUUUGUUUGUUUUUGUUAUUUUAUGUCAUGCAGUCCACACUCCUUACCAGUUGGUGGCAGCAAUGCUAACCUAACGUUUCUUGCCAACCGCCCAUAAAUUUCAAGAAGAAGAAGAACUUCCUUCUUCACAAAAUGUGAAGAAGGAAGUGGCGUCAGAUUUUAGCGGUUAGAGGAUUUCUCUUUUGUCUUUGGUAGAAAAACACAAGUCAUAUUUCCCGCUAUCGCUAGGCUAACACGUUUGUUUUGGUUGUAUUUACCCAGAAUGCCCUGCGUUUUAAUCCACUUCUUGCUUUCAGAGCGGUCUACGGUCUGCUUAGUGUUCACAUAUUCAUUAAAACUGCACCAGAGUUUGUUUCAACCGAACAGAGACCGAGGCUUGUCGCAAACCAGAGUUUUCACAUCCCCAACCGAACCGGACUUUGUAGACAAACGGACUGGAGUUGGAUUAAAUCGGACCAGGACCAGGACUGGUGUGAAUGCAGCAGAACCAGAUUACAGAUCCAUACCCGCGGCCUGUUUGCUGUCUGUUCUGUUAAAUCAUCUAUUUGUUUCUGUAAUGGCUCAGAAAGAAUCAAUAAAGUUUGACUUUGCAUAUUUAACAAUUAAA